ACCUAAAUUGUUUAAAAUUGAAAUAAUUACUCCCUUAAAAAACCACAGCCACAUUUAUGUUGAACUGUGAACUUCACGCGUUUGACACGUGAAAAUUUGAUUAAUUUAUUAUUUUCCAAUUUUUUUUAUAAUUCCUCUCCACUUUCUCCUAUACUCUCCCAAUUUCUUCAAAUCCCUAUAGUAACUUUUUCCCCAAAUUCCUUAAAAUUCCUAUCGAAUUGUGAGGAACAUAGAUGAAUAGUGAUAGAGAAGCUCGUCAAGCGAUAUUCUAGCUUUGCUUAUCGGGGAACUUGAAAAAAAAAC
rnacentral:lncRNA from 1 species